GACGAACGCUGGCGGCGUGCUUAACACAUGCAAGUCGAACGGAAAGGCCCUGCUUUUGUGGGGUGCUCGAGUGGCGAACGGGUGAGUAACACGUGAGUAACCUGCCCUUGACUUUGGGAUAACUUCAGGAAACUGGGGCUAAUACCGGAUAGGAGCUCCUGCUGCAUGGUGGGGGUUGGAAAGUUUCGGCGGUUGGGGAUGGACUCGGGGCUUAUCAGCUUGUUGGUGGGGUAGUGGCUUACCAAGGCUUUGACGGGUAGCCGGCCUGAGAGGGUGACCGGCCACAUUGGGACUGAGAUACGGCCCAGACUCCUACGGGAGGCAGCAGUGGGGAAUAUUGCACAAUGGGCGGAAGCCUGAUGCAGCAACGCCGCGUGCGGGAUGACGGCCUUCGGGUUGUAAACCGCUUUCGCCUGUGACGAAGCGUGAGUGACGGUAAUGGGUAAAGAAGCACCGGCUAACUACGUG
rnacentral:rRNA from 1 species